rnacentral:rRNA from 1 species
CAGCAGCCACGGUAAUACGAAGGGGGCUAGCGUUGUUCGGAAUUACUGGGCGUAAAGCGCACGUAGGCGGAUAUUUAAGUCAGGGGUGAAAUCCCGCAGCUCAACUGCGGAAUUGCCUUUGAUACUGGGUAUCUUGAGUAUGGAAGAGGUUAGUGGAAUUGCGAGUGUAGAGGUGAAAUUCGUAGAUAUUCGCAGGAACACCAGUGGCGAAGGCGGCUAACUGGUCCAUAACUGACGCUGAGGUGCGAAAGCGUGGGGAGCAAACAGGAUUAGAUACCCGUGUAGUCCCUGUCUCUUAUAC